rnacentral:lncRNA from 1 species
CAGAACUGGCUCUAACUCCCAAAGAAGUAUCCUUUAAGGACCUAUUUAUAAGGCCCAAUUUUUGCCCGGGCCUAUAGAUUAAAAACAAUAAAUAAACCAAAAAUAAAACCAAAAUAAAAUUUUUCAGUCCAAUCCAUUUACAAAUUACACUUAUGGCCCAACAUGCCCAAUAAACUUAACUACCUAGCCUAUUUACAAGAAAACUAUCACAGCCCAAAAAUUAAAGACACCCAACCCAAAUCAAAACAAGCCCGAUAGGCCCAUCUCCUUAAUAGCUUUUAGAAAACCCUAGGGCAAAGGGCUUCUCGCGCCGCAAGCAUCCACCAGGAGAUUCACGCUCCGGCCUCCCCAACGCACGUGCGCUUCCGUUCCUCUGUCCACGCCCACGAACGGUUUUUCCACGCCAUACACACCUGCAACAGAAAACAACCAAGUAGUAAUUGACAGCAGAUCACAGCGAAUUACAGCAAGGAAUUUGUAUUUUCUUUUAUUUAUUUAUUUUAUUUUUCUUUUUCGGCUAUAAAACUGAAGGAAAAUGAUGUAAAUGGGAUCUUUUUCUUUUCUCCCUCUUUUCACGAAGAAAAUAGCAGAGAAAUACACACGGAUACUAAAAAAUCAAUUUGAAAUUAGUUUUAAGGUGAUUUUAGAUCGUGUUCUUCCUUGAUUUUCGUUUCCAUUUCAUCAUUCUUUAUCUAUUGCAUGAAAAUAAAUCUAUAAGGAGAAAAGGAGACUUAUCUAUUGUUGAAGGAGGCUUCGAAAUCCUUGUUUGCUUCGUCGUAAUCGAAGUCAAGGCGAAGAUUUGAAGCUUGUGAGCAAGGCUCUCGGAUUUGUGGUCGAACGGGACCAGACUUGGCCUUUGCUUGAUGGCCGUCAGCCGAAUAUGGAGGCAAAGCGGCAGUGGAAAGGUGCCUUAGGUUCGGCCGAGUAAAUGGGAAUAGGUCUUUGGUAUUUUUUUAAUUUUAAUUUGCUUUUAAGUGGCUGAAUGUUGGAUUUUAGGUUUUUUAGGCUUGAUUUUGUAUGAAAUUUGAAACGGUGCCGUGUAGGGGGUGAGAUCCACGCGUCAACCCGAUUAGCAGGCCGGAUCUUCACCUUUUCGUUCAAAAUGGGAAAAUUUCACGUUAGAUCCUUCCCCUCUUGCGAGCAUUCAAUUGCGCUUUAGUUAUUCUAUUUUGUUUUUUUAAAAUUUGGCUUUAUAAUUUGCGCGCAUUUUCAUUUUAGUCUGCGAUAUAGCGCAGCGUUUCAGGAUCGAGGCUAUUUUCAGCUUUGGUCCCUGUGAAUUCGCGCGCAUUGCGCAUUAGUCCUCAGUUUAAUUUCAAGAAUUUGUAAAUUAUCCCUUUUAUUUUAAUUUUAUUUCAAAUAAGUUUUUUCAUCUUUUUUUUAUUCAUUUCACAUUCAUUUUUAAU